CCUACGGGAGGCAGCAGUGAGGAAUAUUGGUCAAUGGGCGAGAGCCUGAACCAGCCAAGUCGCGUGAGGGAGGACUGCCCUAUGGGUUGUAAACCUCGUUUGUCGGGGAGCAAAAGCCGGACGUGGACGGCUGUGAGAGUAGCCGAAGAAAAAGCAACGGCGAACGCCGUGCCAGCAGCCGCGGUAAUACGGAGGAUGCGAGCGUUAGCCGGUUUUAUUGGGUUUAACGGGUGCGCAGGCGGAUUUUUAAGUAAGCGGUCAAAUCGUGGGGCUCAACCCCAUCCAGCCGUUGAAACUGGGGAUCUAGAGUGUGCGAGAGGUAUGCGGAAUGCGUGGUGUAGCGGUGAAAUGCCUAGAUAUCACGCAGAACCCCGAUUGCGAAGGCAGCUUACCGGUGCACAACUGACGCUCAGGCACGAAAGCGUGGGUAUCGAACAGGAUUAGAUACCCCGGUAGUC
rnacentral:rRNA from 1 species